rnacentral:lncRNA from 10 species
UGGGAAAAGAAAGGGCUUUAUUGUGAGGUCAACUGGCAAGGAGACAGGAGGCAGGACUCAAUUCUGUUUUCUCAAUCUGGGUGUUAGGUCAAACUUUUAUGGGUUAUGGAGGGUUAUUUGGUGUGCAGAAGUGCUGGGAGGGUAGGUUUAACUGGAGGACUUUAAACUUGGCCAUUUAGGAUAAGGUAUGGAAUGGUGGAUUUCAGCACCAGAUCUUUCUAGAUAACUGACCCUUUACUUCUAAAAGGAUUCUGGUACUCAGGUUUUGGUCUUGUCCUGGCCUUCUUGUUUCCAUAGGGAGGAAACAUUGGUUCUGAGUGUUAUAGGAAGUAAAACCUUUUUCUGUUGCACAUGCCCUGUCUCCAUGAUUUGCAAUUUGUGCUCUGCUGCAUCUGCAAGACAACUUAAACAAUGCUUAAACAAUAGAGGUGAACUGGGUUGAGCUGCCCCUGUGCUUAACACAUGCGAAUGUUUUAGU